CAAACAAAAAAAACCUUGCAGCAAAAGAAAAAAGGCGAUUAAUCAGUUAAAAUUUGCUACUCUGGGUAAAAAAAAAAUUAUAUACCAGGGUUCCUGCGGGUCCUUAAAAAGUCUUAAAAUGACUGCAUUUAGGAAGUGGUUGGCGCCGGCUGAAAAUAACAAUGAGGAAAUGUGUAAAUUCAGCAAAAAGAUCUUUUCGUUAGGGACCAUGGGGCUCAAAGCUGUCGGGUCGUAUAUAGAGUCCAAGUUAAUCACUGCAUUGUUUGCAGCUCGACCUAAUCGACCUAAAAGGUAUAGGUACUGUGGGUUCUCCAUACUGUGAAGAGGCACAAUUCAUUUAAAUCUAACGAGGACAUACGUAACAUCUUUGCUGCCAUGUUCCCCUAUUCGCAGCUUGCAAAGUCAUUCACCUGUGGUGAAAAUAAAACCAUAUGUCGCCAAAUAUGGCAUCGCUUCGUUCAUCAAGAAGGAUCGUGUAGCAUUAGUGAGAAGCCAUGUCAUCAUGUUUGACGAAAGUUUGAAUAAAUCGACAAAGAACAAACAAAUGGACCUUCAUUUGCGAUUCUGGACUACUGAUGAAGAGACUGGCACACACUACAUCAUCUCCCGCUACUAUGGGUCGGUGUUCAUGAGUCACUCCAGAGCCGAGGACAUGUUGGGAAGGUACAUAGGAGCUUAAUAAACAACAUUCUCUCACUAUCAAUGGAUGGGCCCGCUGUAAACUGGAAGUUUGUUGAACUCUUACAAGAGGGACACAGAGAGCAAUGUGGUGGAGCCCAACUACAAAUAAUUGGGAGUUGUGGCCUUCACACGAUGCACAACUCUUUAAAGAACGGCUUCGCAGUGUGGCAAGUUGAGAGAGUCCUGAAAGCCCUGCACUACCUGUUUCAUUGUGCACCUGCAAGGAGAGAGGACUUUGCGUUAGUGACAAAGUGUGAUACAUUUCCUCUGCCAUUUUGCGGACAUCGAUGGCUGGAAAACCUUCCAGCAGUGGAGCGAGCAAUUGAAAUUUGGUCAUAUAUCCUCACUUAUGAGGACCAAAGCCAAGAAGCUCCCCAAUACAAGGUCAUCGUCAUUUGACACCAUCGCAGAAGCCCGGAUGGAUCACUUCAUCUUGGCAAAGUUACACUUCUCGAGAAGUUUUCAGCCAUUUCUCACCAAAUGACUACUAAAAGUAUAUUAAUGGUUUAAUCAUUCAAGCACCAUCAUUUACAGAGGAUAUGAACAUUAAAACAAAGUACUGAGUUUUCAGCAUGAUGAUGUUUGUAGAAAGUAUUGUAAAUACUGUAAUACUUUUUCCAAUUUUGAUUAUAAUUAUUAUGCUUGUGCUAUUCUAUUUUCAGAGCCUUCUCAGAUGCUUCAUAAAGCGAGACGUCCAGGUUGAUGUUUCCCCAGUAAAACUGGUCAAGCUUGAUGUGAUAGACCAAAAGCUUUGGGUCAGUCCAAAGCAAGUGGACAUUGGCAUGGGAGCCACAGCUGACCUCAAGGUGAUAAGAUUGCCCAACAAUUUCAGAAGUUCCUCUUCAGUGAGGCCAGAGGAGAGGAAUUCAUGGCCUUCAGUGCAUUGGAAAACAGUGCAAAACUAUCAUUUUGCAUUAUUGAGACACUGUUUUCCAAAUGAAUGUUGUUCAGUGCUUUGGCGCAAUGUAUUUUGUUUAAAGCACUAUAUAAAUAAAGGUGAUUGAUUGAUUGAUUGAUUGAUGGAAAAUCGCGAGUUGACAGCUUCCUGCAUAAGGGCAUGAAUGGACAUACAGAACUGUGGAGCUUUGUGGAAAAGCUGCUGCUUCUGUCCCAUGGACAAGCUACUUUGGAGCGUGGGUUCUCCAUAAACAAGGAGGUGGAGAUGUGCAAUUUGAACGACGACGUUAUAGUCUCAUAGAGACUAAUCUGCGACUAUGUGAGGAUGUGUGGUGGAGUGGUCAAAGUGCCUCUAACUAAAGAGCUGCUAAAUGUGAGUGCAUCUGCACGCAACCAGUACAGGAUAUUCUUGGAAGAUGAGAGGAAGCAAAAGGAAAAGACAAAACAGAUGAAAAAGAGAAAAAAGGUUGAAGAUGAUAUUGAAGAGUUACGCAAGAAAAGAAGAACAAUCUCACCUGUGUGUGAAACUCUAGAAAAAAAUGCAGAUGGCCUUGCAGAAAAGGCUGAGAAUACAGCAGGGACCAAGAUGGCAGUACUUAUCACUAAAUCUAAUUCAUAAAUCAUUGUGUUGUUUAGUGUAAUCCAAUUUAUCUAUGUUACAUUGUCUCUGUUCUACAUCACAAAGGAACAAAAAAAGAAAAUAAAAAUGUC